GACGAACGCUGGCGGCGUGCUUAACACAUGCAAGUCGAACGGAAAGGCCCUGCUUUUGUGGGGUGCUCGAGUGGCGAACGGGUGAGUAACACGUGAGUAACCUGCCCUUGACUUUGGGAUAACUUCAGGAAACUGGGGCUAAUACCGGAUAGGAGCUCCUGCUGCAUGGUGGGGGUUGGAAAGUUUCGGCGGUUGGGGAUGGACUCGCGGCUUAUCAGCUUGUUGGUAGGGUAGUGGCUUACCAAGGCUUUGACGGGUGGCCGGCCUGAGAGGGUGACCGGCCACAUUGGGACUGAGAUACGGCCCAGACUCCUACGGGAGGCAGCAGUGGGGAAUAUUGCACAAUGGGCGGAAGCCUGAUGCAGCAACGCCGCGUGCGGGAUGACGGCCUUCGGGUUGUAAACCGCUUUCGCCUGUGACGAAGCGUGAGUGACGGUAAUGGGUAAAGAAGCACCGGCUAACUACGUG
rnacentral:rRNA from 1 species